GGCGGCCUGGGCGGCCGAGGCGCUGGCGGAGCCGGAGCUGGGCUCGGACGAGCUGGAGGCGGCGGCGGGCGGCGCGCUGGACCGCGUCCUGCUGGAGUCGGUGUGCCAGCAGCAGGGCUGGCUGCGCGUCUACGACGACCGUGCAAACGCUUCCCAAGAAAAACUGCUGCUCUGAAACGACUUGAGCUCCCACACGUGGACUGCGGAUCAAGGAGAGCGUUCAGCUACGUGAAUUGCCUUCUUGCAUCUCACACAAGAAAUGCUGAAGCCAACUGAAGCUGAUUCUAACUCGAUGACGUUGGAGGAGAACAGAUUUGUUUGGGCAUCGCCUUUGCUAUGGAUGAUGUGUAGGAGGAGGAGAGGGUCCAGUUUGACUCGAAGCCCGGGCUAUAAUUUUUGAGCUAGCAGUUUAAAAGAAUUGUCUUCUUUGUAGACUAAGCAAACUUGUGUAUCGGUGAUUUUAUGUCAAUAAACAUGUAAGCCUUGUGUGCCCUUUUUAGAA